UUCUAUCUCCUUUUCCUAACAUCGUUUCCUUGACCCGAUGAGGAAAAGAAGUUAGGAGA
ensembl:miRNA